ensembl:lncRNA ECEL1P2 endothelin converting enzyme like 1 pseudogene 2
CAGGCGGUGUAGGGCUCCAGGCAGGCGGCGAAGGCCAUGACGUGCGCUAUGAAGGUCUGCUCCUGCACGCCGUGAACCAGGUGCGCCUGCGGGCCGCGCGCGAACACCGCCACGUCCUCGCCUGCGUGGGUCUCUUCGUCCAGGGGCACUGCUGACUGCUGCCGAUACUCGGGGCUCCCUGGUUGGAGGGUUCAGUUCCGGCCUACCGAAGAUGGAGCUCCCUCGCAGGGGGUAGCCUCCGAAGGAGAAGACGUGGGAGUGGUCGGCAGUGACGAGGCUCAGCGUGUCCUCCUCGCUGGUGAGCUGGCCCGCCCUCUCAAUGGCGUCGUCGAACAUGAUCGUCUCAGUCAGUGCCCGGGUGUCAGAGGUCAGUAUAUGUGACCAACGUCUGUGACCUGGCCGUGACCCAGCAGCGGGCCCCAGCUCACCUGCUUUCUUGGCCCGAUUCAUCACGGAGAUGACCUCGUUGCCGCGUGUCGUG